rnacentral:rRNA from 1 species
GACGAACGCUGGCGGCGUGCUUAAAACAUGCAAGUCGAACGAGACCUUUGGUCUAGUGGCGAACGGCGGAGUAAUACAUAAGCAACCUGCCUCAAAGACCGGGAUAGCCCCUCGAAAGAGGGAUUAAUACCGGAUGUGGCCUUUCGUGGGCAUCCACGAAAGAUUAAAACGAGUAAUCGGCUUUGAGAGGGGCUUGUGGCCUAUCAGCUUGUUGGUGGGGUAAUGGCCUACCAAGGCUUCGACGGGUAGCGGGUCUGAGAGGAUGAUCCGCCCGACUGGGACUGAGACACGGCCCAGACUCCUACGGGAGGCAGCAGUUGGGAAUCUUGCACAAUGGGCGAAAGCCUGAUGCAGCGACGCCGCGUGGAGGACGAAGUCUCUCGGGAUGUAAACUCCUUUUGCCAGGAACGAUAAUGACGGUACCUGGUGAAUAAGCCCCGGCUAACUACGUGCCAGCAGCCGCGGUAAGACGUAGGGGGCGAGCGUUGUCCGGNUUUACUGGGCGUAAGAGCGCGUA